rnacentral:rRNA from 1 species
UGGUGGAGUGAUCUGUCUGCUUAAUUGCGAUAACGAACGAGACCUUAACCUGCUAAAUAGCUAGGCUAGCUUUGGCUGGUCGCCGGCUUCUUAGAGGGACUAUCGGCUCAAGCCGAUGGAAGUUUGAGGCAAUAACA